rnacentral:lncRNA from 1 species
ACGGUUGGACCAUACAGUCAGCUUCUAAUUUAAGUUUAUAAGUUAUAACGAUAUGACUAUUGUUCCUCCGAUUUGUACUUCGUCCUGUAAUAGAACACUUCUCCAUCUUCUUCAAUCCAUUCUUUAUCCUUCAAUCUUCUUCCCUACUAUAUUCUUUCCCAAAAAUCCCAAAUCUCCUCUUUUGAUUAACGAAUCAUAUAAAUUCUUCCAUAUCUUCUUUGCUGGCAUAGUUUAUGAAGAAAACCCUAAUUUUGAGUAUGCAACUGCAAUUCCAAGCUGCAGACGCGGAGAAGAAGCCAUAAUUCUUACUUCUUAGACUGAAGAUAAUCACGGAAGAAGGUUUUUUUAGCUGUAAUAAAAGAUAUUUGAUUAGUAUUCGGUUUAAGUUUGCUUUUCAUUUGUUAUUUUUGUAGAGAAAUUAGAGCUACUGGCUCGACCCUCCAAUGCAAGAUCGUGCAAAGGAUGUUAUCAAUGGUCUCACGAGGAAGCUCAACAAAUAUCAACGAGAACAGCGACCGAGGAUUCAGGAUGUAGUUAAUGAUUCCGAAUUUCGAACAUCAACGUCAUUGUCUUCAAAUGCAAGAGAUGUAAAGAAAUAGAUUGUCCCAUAUGAGAAUGAGGGUACAUGUACUACGAGCAUACCUGCAGUUGUAGCUUUGGUUUGUGUUGUCAUAUGAAUCGUAAUUGGAAUCUAUGUUCGAUGACGCUUUGGUUUGUAUAUAUCUUGUUUUCGCUUAUAUUUGACACUAAAUUUAUGAGAAUUCAUUCUUGUUUUAUGUCUUUGGCUGUCCAAUUUUGCGUCUGGUUCUU